rnacentral:tRNA from 1 species
GGUGAGGUGCCCGAGUGGUCAAAGGGGGCGGACUGUAAAUCCGCUGGCAGAAUGCCUACGGAGGUUCAAACCCUCCCCUCACCACCA